GACAUAGGGGGCAAGCGUUAUCCGGAAUUAUUGGGCGUAAAGGGUGCGUAGGUGGUUCAUUAAGUUAGUGGUGGCAAAUCGGGGCCCAACCCCGUGGAAGUCGGUAAUACUAUUAAACUAGAGGAUCGGAGAGGUUAACGGAAUUCUAUGUGUAGCGGUAAAAUGCUCAAAUAUAUAGAGGAACACCAAACGGCGAAGGCAGUUAACUAGGCGGUGCCUGACGUUGAGGCACGAAAGCGUGGGGAGCAAGCCGG
rnacentral:rRNA from 1 species